rnacentral:rRNA from 1 species
GACGAACGCUGGCGGCGCGCCUAACACAUGCAAGUCGAACGAGAAAGGAAGAGCUUGCUCUUCUAAUCGAGUGGCGAACGGGUGAGUAACGCGUGAGGAACCUGCCUCAAAGAGGGGGACAACAGUUGGAAACGACUGCUAAUACCGCAUAAGCCCACGACCCGGCAUCGGGAAGAGGGAAAAGGAGCAAUCCGCUUUGAGAUGGCCUCGCGUCCGAUUAGCUAGUUGGUGAGGUAACGGCCCACCAAGGCGACGAUCGGUAGCCGGACUGAGAGGUUGAACGGCCACAUUGGGACUGAGACACGGCCCAGACUCCUACGGGAGGCAGCAGUGGGGAAUAUUGCACAAUGGGGGAAACCCUGAUGCAGCGACGCCGCGUGGAGGAAGAAGGUCUUCGGAUUGUAAACUCCUGUUGUUGAGGAAGAUAAUGACGGUACUCAACAAGGAAGUGACGGCUAACUACGUG